AUACGGGGGAUUCAAGCGUUAUCCGGACUUAUUGGGUUUAAAGGGUGCGUAGGCUGAUAAAUCAGUCAGCGGUGAAAUUUACGGGCUUAACUUGUAGCUUGCCGUUGAAACUAUUUAUCUAGAGAUAUUUCGGCGUAUGCGGAAUGUAUCAAGUAGCGGUGAAAUGCGUAGAUAUGCCACAGAACGCCGAUAGCGGAGGCAGCUCGCAAGGCCGGCAUUGACGCUCGGGCACGAAAGCGUGGGGAUCGAACAGGAUUAGAUACCCUGGUAGUCCACGCCGUAAACGAUGGGCGCUCGUCGUCGGCGGCAGACAGUCGGCGGCCAAGCGAAAGCGAUAAGCGCCCCACCUGGGGAGUACGGUCGCAAGGCUGAAACUCAAAUGAAUUGACGGGG
rnacentral:rRNA from 1 species